UGGGGAAUCGUCUAACGGCAGGACAGCGGACUCUGACUCCGCCAAUCUAGGUUCAAAUCCUAGUUCCCCAGCCA
rnacentral:tRNA from 1 species